CCUUAUGCACAUAUUCUCUCAGUUCCUGUUUCGGAAACUGCUUACCCUGGACAGACUCAAUACCAGACACUACAGCAGACUCAACCCUAUGCUGUCUACCCUCAGGCAACCCAAACGUAUGGACUACCUCCUUUUGCUUCAAGCACAAAUGCCAGCCUGAUAUCUACUUCUUCUACAAUUGCCAAUAUUCCAGCAGCAGCAGUAGCCAGCAUCUCAAACCAGGAUUAUCCCACCUAUACUAUUCUUGGUCAGAAUCAGUACCAGGCCUGCUACCCCAGCUCCAGCUUUGGAGUCACAGGUCAGACUAACAGUGAUGCAGAGAGCACCACAUUAGCAGCAACCACAUACCAGUCGGAGAAGCCUAGUGUCAUGGCGCCUGCACCUGCAGCACAGAGACUUUCCUCUGGAGACCCUUCUACAAGCCCAUCUUUGUCCCAGACUACACCAAGUAAAGAUACUGAUGAUCAGUCCAGGAAAAACAUGACUAGCAAGAACCGGGGCAAGAGGAAAGCUGAUGCCACUUCUUCCCAAGACAGUGAAUUAGAAGUAUGAGAAGAAACUGAUUUAGUUGCCUACUUUGUUCUUUCUCACUUCUUAAGUUUAUCAAACAUGUUUUUGAAGCUCACAGAGAUAAUGUGGACUAUGUUAUGUGCCCUUUAAUUCCUGAGCAAAAUAAACGAAAUUGGCCACGUAAAAA
rnacentral:sRNA from 1 species